rnacentral:pre_miRNA from 1 species
UUAACUCAAAUUUGUAUGGAGUUGGAACAGCUUCCCUUCGUUCGCCGCUAGGGGCGCUGUUCCAACUCCAUACAAAUUUGUGUUA